UACGGAGGGGGCUAGCGUUGUUCGGAAUUACUGGGCGUAAAGCGCACGUAGGCGGAUAUUUAAGUCAGGGGUGAAAUCCCGGGGCUCAACCCCGGAACUGCCUUUGAUACUGGGUAUCUCGAGUCCGAGAGAGGUGAGUGGAAUUCCGAGUGUAGAGGUGAAAUUCGCAGAUAUCAGGAGGAACACCAAUAGCGAAGGCAGCUCGCUGGGACGUUACUGACACUGAGGCGCGAAAGCGUGGGGAGCGAACAGG
rnacentral:rRNA from 1 species